CAUGCGGUGGAGCAUGUAGUCUAAUUCGAAGCAACGUGAAGCACGUUACCAGGUCUUGACAUCCCGGUGCCCAGUGAAGAGAUACGCCUUUCCGUUCGGGGACAGCGGUGGCAGGUGGUGCAUGGUGGUCGUCAGCUCGUAUAGUGAGACGUUAGGUUAAGUGCCGCAACAAGCGCAACCCUUGAUCUUAGUUGCCAGCAUUCAGUUGGGCACUGUAAGGUAAUUACCGGGGACAAACCGGAGGAAGGUGGGGAUGACGUCAAAUCAUCAUGCCCCUUAUGACCUGGGCUACACACGUGAUCCAAUGGCCGGUACAAAGGGCUGCAAACCCGGGAGGGGGAGCCAAUCCCAGAAAACCGGGAUCAGUUGGGAGUCAGGAUGCAACUCGCGUGCAUGAAGCGGAAAUCGGUCGUAAUCAUGGAUCAGCACGCCACGGAAACACGUUUCCGGGCGAUGUACACACC
rnacentral:rRNA from 1 species